GGGGUUGUGGCUCAGUGGUAGAGCACUUGCCUAACGUGUGAGGCACUGGGUUCAAUUCUAACUGUAAUCCCU
rnacentral:tRNA from 1 species